UGAAUUGUAACUCAACUUGACCAAACCCGCCCACUGCAACUUGGAAGUGGCUUUCCCGUGAAGUUGCUUUGGAACAAAGCUAUCCUAUAGUCUUUAGUUGACAAUGCCUCACUAACAAUUUGCUUUUAAUUCGUGGAUGCUCUCUGAAAGUGUCCCAAAGAUUCCCCACUAAAACUACUUUAAUUGGCUGUUUCUAAGAGUUUGAUACAGAAAUUCUCUUCUAAAAAUACUAAGUUGGCCAAGUCCAGAGGCAGGGUUCAAGCAGUUCUGUACCCUGAUAUUAAGAAAAGAUGAUUUGAAGAAGACGAUAUUUCGAUAUUGAAUUGUUCUACACUUGCAGCAUGGUUCUCUAUCAAAAGGGCUGAAGGAACUGUAAAUCUGGGGAUCCUGAGAUGAUUUUAACCCUUUUAUAUGUGUCCUAACAUCAAUUGAUGAGCCAGAUCACAAAGGAUGACAAUAAUGUAAUCACCAUAAGAACCAAUACCUGUCUCAAGCCACCGCUGACACUGCCUCCAGUCAAAAGCAUCGAAAUGAGAGAUGUCACAGCACCACCACCACCACCACCACCAACGCCAUUUCCUGCACUUCGGAUGGCAGAGCGCAUUGCAUUUAGGACGCUUCCAUAUGUAGCUGCGUGCCCCCGCUCAAUUGCUUGGAUGAAACAGAAAGUCAUAGCACCAGUUGAUGUAAUUUGUGAUAAUGCCUGUUCCCAAAGAAAUCAGUAUACACAUAUUUAGCUUUUUGGUCUGAGGUCUUGAAACAAUUGGGAAAAUAAGAUAUAUAAGGACUAUGUCUAAUCAGUCAUUCCGAAACUUACAGAUGUAUCAGCAGAUGUUUGAUCAUCAUCACAACCACUAAAGGAAAUGACUUCUCCACCA